rnacentral:piRNA from 1 species
UGGGAAGAGCUUGACGAUGGUAUUGUAGG